rnacentral:lncRNA from 1 species
AGGAGACAUCCCUCUGCUUCUCUCACCCCGUCUGAAAACCACCCUGGUAACCCUGUGUCACCAUGGUGUACCCAGGAGGCCUCCUAACCCCCCAGGAGAAGUCAGUGCCACUGAAGAGCAUCUCUGUGACCUUGUCCAUCUGUGAGUUUGUGGCUGGUGUGUCUGCAACCUUAAACUACAAGAAUGAGGAGGAAGUUCCCUUGGAGGCUUUCUUUAUAUUCCCCAUGGAUGAAGACUCAGCUGUCUACAGCUUCGAGGCCAUGGUGGAUGGAAAGAAUGUUAAAGCAGAAUUACAGGACAAGAUGACGGCACACACCAACUAUGAGAAUGCCAUCAUCCGUGGCCACCAAGCCUUCCUGUUAGAGGAGGACAUGUGCUCCAGGGAUGUGUUCUGUUGUAACGUGGGGAACCUCCUCCCCGGGUCGCAGGCGGAGCUCACCCUGAAGUACGUGCAGGAGCUGCCCCUGGAAGCAGACGGGGCUCUGCGCUACGUGCUCCCUGCUGUCCUGAAUCCUCGUUACCAACUCUCUGGAUGUUCUGAGGACAGUUGCCUUAAUAUGAAGACUCCUGUAGUCUCUUUGGAGGAUCUGCCCUACACAAUCAGCAUGGUGGCGACCAUCAGUUCCCAGCAUGGCAUUGACAGGAUUCAAUCCAACUGCUCCUUGAGUCCUAUUGAGUACUUUGGAGAUAACAAGACUUCUGCUCAGGUUUCCUUGGCCGAUGGACACAAGUUUGACAGGGAUGUGGAAUUUCUGAUUUACUACAGAGCAGUGCACACCCCUAGCGUAGUCGUGGAGAUGGGAGAAGCUACCACAAAGUCAGAUGGUGUGUUGGGAGAUCCAGCUGCAAUGGUGACUUUCUACCCGAAUAUCCCAGAAGCUCAGGCAUCAAUUCCCUGUGGAGAAUUCAUCUUCCUCAUGGACUGCUCAGGAAGCAUGCAGAGCCCCAUAAGUAAGCAGAGGAGAUCUCAGCUGCGCAUAGAUGUAGCCAAGGAAACACUGAUUUUGCUUCUGAAGAGUUUGCCUCUAGGCUGUUAUUUCAACAUCUAUGAAUUUGGAUCUACUUAUGAGGCAUUCUUUCCGAAUAGUGUGAAGUACGCUCAGAGUACUGUGGAGGAGGCACUGCAAAGAGUUAAGCUUAUGAGGGCUAACCUCGGGGGUACGGAAAUCUUGACACCACUCCAACACAUUUACAAGCAGCCUUCUGUCCCAGGCCACCCCCUGCAGGUUUUUGUCUUCACAGAUGGAGAAGUUACUGAUACAUUUACUGUCGUUAGAGAAGUUAAGAGCCACUGUCUAAGGCACAGAUGUUUUUCAUUUGGUAUUGGUGAAGGAGUCUCCACCAGCCUAGUAAAAGGCAUUGCCCGGGUGUCACGGGGCACUUCAGAAUUUAUCACAGGCAAGGAGAGAAUGCAGGCCAAGGCACUUAGAGCCCUUAAACGUUCUCUGCAGCCCGUGGUAGACGAUGUUUCUCUCAGCUGGGAUUUGCCUGAUGGUCUGUCUGCUAAAAUGCUUUCCCCAGAACAGACUGUCCUCUUUAGGGGUCAGAGAUUAAUCCUCUAUGCCCAGUUGACCGGGACAAUGCCGCCAGCAGAGGCAACAGGAGAAGUUUGCCUCAAGUACACACUCCAAGGAGAGAGUCUGGAGAAUAAAGUGACAUUUUCCCUACAACCCAAGCUCGAUGCCAACCUCACCAUUCACCGACUUGCAGCCAAAUCCUUUCUGCAGACCAAGGACAUGGGCCUCAGGGAAACUCCUGCAGGUGAUAAAAAAGAUGUGUUGAAAGUUAGCAUGGAGUGUGGAGUCAUAAGCUCCCACACAGCUUUCAUUGCUGUCAACAAGGAUUUCAGCAAGCCAAUUCAGGGGCCACUGGCUCCUCGGGAUGUUCCAAGGCCAAUGCUGUUGCAUGCUGCCCCAGUGAUGCAAUCCAUGUCACUACAGAGGUGUGGAACUGGACGAAGAGCACGCAUGUGUCUUGGUUAUAGACAAGAGAAGAAAUGCCUGUCAGAGGCCUGUCUUGAGAAGCCAAAGUCUCGUGCUUCUGCCAAAAAGACCAAUGCUGAAACUCACGGUCCAGUCGUUGAAGAUAAUCGUCUUGCACAGUUGAUUUCCCUUCAAAAGGCAGAUGGUUCCUGGGAUCUGAAUGAAGGUCUGGCUUUGGUCCUGGGUAUGAAGUUGGAAGACAUACAGGCUGCACUUCCUGACAAGGAUGUGAAUUCUUCAAGCUGGGCCACAGUCCUGGCGGUGCUCUGGCUGCAUGACAACGCUAAGGACAUGGAUUGUGAGUGGGAGCUUCUGGAAAGGAAGGCAGUGGCCUGGAUUCACAUCCACGCAGGGUCCGUCAGGCACGAGCUUGUGAAAGCUGCAAUUGCUUUCGUGAAAUCUUCUGUGGAUCCUGCCAUCUUCGGCCCCUGAGGAGACCGUCCAGAAGAAGUGCCUCUGCUAUGCUACAGUCCUUGCCUUCACCGUCUCUUCUCUGAAGUUUCUGUAGUUUACACCUGUCCUGGCAGCUCCUUAUUACACGAGCAGUGGGCGGCCACACCCUCUUGCCUCUCAGUGUCAGGUUCUCUUCGAAUGUGCUUUUCCUUCCCCAGCUCAUACUCUCAGCUGAGUGUCAUGGGUCCCAGAAUCAGUUCCCUUUCUUAGAGGAAUUCAAAGCAUUCCCAGGCUAUAAUGUUCCUCCUCAAUUGUCCAGAAUGACCACAUGGAACACAGGUGAUGUGGACUCCAGACUAAAGAUUGUGGCAAUCAUGUUCA